AGCUCCACCAGGAGCCGUCGUUCUUUUACAAAGAGGGGUGGAGGUUCCAGUGGAGGCUGUUGUUGCCUUUUUUUUUUUUUUUUUAAUGAAUGGAGGGCGGCGGCGACUGCUGCAGCUGGGCCAGCUGCGCGGGCUGCACCCCCUCCCAGCCUGCGAGAGGAGGAAGCUAGUAGAAGAUUUGUACCAACAAAACCAAGGAGUAAACAACUUGAGAAUAACUGCAUGAGCUCAGGGCUUGGACUGUCAGAUUCCAUUUCUAAGCUUCCAGAAGAGCGACACAUAGACACUGGGGAAGUCAGAGCCUUUGAACUCCAAUGCCAUCCCCGUCACCCACCUCCACCACCAGCACCACCACCGAAUGGCACUUUGGACAAUUUUUCCCUCUCAUGUGACUUUUGUCAUUUCUUACGUCAGUUGGAGCCAGCACCUCUCAAAUCCAUCUUCUAAAACCCAGAAAAUUGUGUGUAACACAUGAUGACUGAAAGGGAGUAGGCUGACCAGUUAAGAGCCUGCCACUGGAAUGGAAGGCUGUGGGAAGGUGAGGGGACGGUGGACAUCAACCGGGAAGAGCUGAAAGAUGGCGUUACCAGGUAUCUACCCUGCUACCCUGCAUAGAAUUCCCAAGACCCAGGGUGGGUUUUUAUGCUUCCCCGUUUAAUAUUUAUUUUUAUUAUUUGUCAGUAGAAGUGUCUUUAUCUUAAAAAAUUAAUACAUUAUUGUUGUCACCAAUUUAAAUAAUAUGGAGAUGAAUAGAAAGUAAAAGUAUAGAUUUACACUACACA
ensembl:lncRNA SPRY4-AS1 SPRY4 antisense RNA 1